rnacentral:rRNA from 1 species
GGGUGAAAAGCCCGCUCGCCGGAAGACCAAGGGUUCCUGUCCAACGUUAAUCGGGGCAGGGUGAGUCGACCCCUAAGGCGAGGCCGAAAGGCGUAGUCGAUGGGAAACAGGUUAAUAUUCCUGUACUUGGUGUUACUGCGAAGGGGGGACGGAGAAGGCUAUGUUGGCCGGGCGACGGUUGUCCCGGUUUAAGCGUGUAGGCUGGUUUUCCAGGCAAAUCCGGAAAAUCAAGGCUGAGGCGUGAUGACGAGGCACUACGGUGCUGAAGCAACAAAUGCCCUGCUUCCAGGAAAAGCCUCUAAGCAUCAGGUAACAUCAAAUCGUACCCCAAACCGACACAGGUGGUCAGGUAGAGAAUACCAAGGCGCUUGAGAGAACUCGGGUGAAGGAACUAGGCAAAAUGGUGCCGUAACUUCGGGAGAAGGCACGCUGAUAUGUAGGUGAAGUCCCUCGCGGAUGGAGCUGAAAUCAGUCGAAGAUACCAGCUGGCUGCAACUGUUUAUUAAAAACACAGCACUGUGCAAACACGAAAGUGGACGUAUACGGUGUGACGCCUGCCCGGUGCCGGAAGGUUAAUUGAUGGGGUUAGCGCAAGCGAAGCUCUUGAUCGAAGCCCCGGUAAACGGCGGCCGUAACUAUAACGGUCCUAAGGUAGCGAAAUUCCUUGUCGGGUAAGUUCCGACCUGCACGAAUGGCGUAAUGAUGGCCAGGCUGUCUCCACCCGAGACUCAGUGAAAUUGAACUCGCUGUGAAGAUGCAGUGUACCCGCGGCAAGACGGAAAGACCCCGUGAACCUUUACUAUAGCUUGACACUGAACAUUGAGCCUUGAUGUGUAGGAUAGGUGGGAGGCUUUGAAGUGUGGACGCCAGUCUGCAUGGAGCCGACCUUGAAAUACCACCCUUUAAUGUUUGAUGUUCUAACGUUGACCCGUAAUCCGGGUUGCGGACAGUGUCUGGUGGGUAGUUUGACUGGGGCGGUCUCCUCCUAAAGAGUAACGGAGGAGCACGAAGGUUGGCUAAUCCUGGUCGGACAUCAGGAGGUUAGUGCAAUGGCAUAAGCCAGCUUGACUGCGAGCGUGACGGCGCGAGCAGGUGCGAAAGCAGGUCAUAGUGAUCCGGUGGUUCUGAAUGGAAGGGCCAUCGCUCAACGGAUAAAAGGUACUCCGGGGAUAACAGGCUGAUACCGCCCAAGAGUUCAUAUCGACGGCGGUGUUUGGCACCUCGAUGUCGGCUCAUCACAUCCUGGGGCUGAAGUAGGUCCCAAGGGUAUGGCUGUUCGCCAUUUAAAGUGGUACGCGAGCUGGGUUUAGAACGUCGUGAGACAGUUCGGUCCCUAUCUGCCGUGGGCGCUGGAGAACUGAGGGGGGCUGCUCCUAGUACGAGAGGACCGGAGUGGACGCAUCACUGGUGUUCGGGUUGUCAUGCCAAUGGCACUGCCCGGUAGCUAAAUGCGGAAGAGAUAAGUGCUGAAAGCAUCUAAGCACGAAACUUGCCCCGAGAUGAGUUCUCCCUGACUCCUUGAGAGUCCUGAAGGAACGUUGAAGACGACGACGUUGAUAGGCCGGGUGUGUAAGCGCAGCGAUGCGUUGAGCUAACCGGUACUAAUGAACCGUGAGGCUUAACCUU